GGGAAGCGAGCCUGCGAGGGGGAGCGAAUCCCAAAAAGCCGUCCCAGUUCGGAUCGCAGGCUGCAACCCGCCUGCGUGAAGUUGGAAUCGCUAGUAAUCGCGGAUCAGCAUGCCGCGGUGAAUACGUUCCCGGGCCUUGUAGACACCGCCCGUCACACCAUGAGAGUCGGGAACACCCGAAGUCCGUAGCCUAACCGCAAGGGGGGCGCGGCCGAAGGUGGGUUCGAUAAUUGGGGUGAAGUCGUAACAAGGUAUC
rnacentral:rRNA from 1 species